rnacentral:lncRNA from 1 species
UGGGGCAGGCACGUACUUUCAAUUCUCCUGCGUGGAUACCCCAGGCAAGAAUUUCCGGGUCAUAUACUAAUUCUAUCUUUAAUUUUUUUAGGAACUGCCAGAUUUUCCCCCAGUGGCUGCGACAUGGCACAUUCCCACCAGCAAUAUAUGAAGGUUCCGAUUUCACCACAUCCUCACCAGCACUUGUUAUUGUCUGUCUCUUUGUUCUAGCCAUCUAGCGGGAGUGAAGUGGCCCCUCACUGUGGUUCUGACUGGCAUUUCCCUAGUGACCAAUGAUUCUGAAUAUGGCUUGACAUGUUUGUUUUAUUAGCCAUUUGUAUAUCUUCUUUGGAGAAAUGUCCACUUGAAUGGUCAUUGGAUUUUGACAAAAAUCAAGUUGUCCCUGUGGAACGAUCACCCGCAUCAAGACAUAGACAUUUCUAGCACCCUAGAAGACUCCUUCAUCCAGUCCCAGGGUGACGUCUAUUCUGACUCUCGUUCCCAUAGACUAGCUUUGCCGACUUUAAACUCCACUGAAAAGGAACGGUACUUGACCCCCUCCUUUUUGUCUGAUUUCUUUUACUCAAUAUGAUCCAGGUGAAAUCCAUCAGGAUGUUUUUCUCUCGUCUUUUUCCUUACUGAGUAGUAUUCUACUGUUUGGCGGACUCACUCAUCCUGCUGUGGAAGUUGACUUGGUUUGUUUCCAGUUUUAGGUUACUACAAAUGAAGUUUCAGCAGUUUAUUCAAUUCAACCUCGCAGUACACCUCAAAGGACAAAGUGGUUGUCCAUGGAGGUGGUGGGCAGUGGGAGUGGGGCGUGUGGCCAGGCAGGGGGUCCUGCACGGGCUGAUAAAGAGGCUGCUCUG